rnacentral:rRNA from 3 species
UAGCGCUGUGGAACCACCCGAUCCCAUCCCGAACUCGGAAGUGAAACGCAGCUGCGCCGAUGGUAGUGUGGCUCAAGCCAUGCGAGAGUAGGUCAUCGCCAGGG